rnacentral:misc_RNA from 1 species
UCUCCGUAGGUGAACCUGCGGAGGGAUCAUUACAGAGUUCGUGCCCUCGCGGGUAGAUCUCCCACCCUGUGUUAUUGCUACCUUUGUUGCUUUUGCGGGCCGCCCUCGGCUACCGGCCCCGGCUGGUACGCGCCCGCCAGAGGACCCCAAACCCUGAACGUCAGUGUCGUCUGAGUACUAUACAAUCGUUAAAACUUUCAACAACGGAUCUCUUGGUUCUG